UACGUAGGGUCCGAGCGUUGUCCGGAAUUAUUGGGCGUAAAGGGCUCGUAGGCGGUUUGUCGCGUCGGGAGUGAAAACUCAGGGCUCAACCCUGAGCGUGCUUCCGAUACGGGCAGACUAGAGGUAUGCAGGGGAGAACGGAAUUCCUGGUGUAGCGGUGGAAUGCGCAGAUAUCAGGAGGAACACCAGUGGCGAAGGCGACUACCUGGCCUGUUCUUGACGCUGAGGCGCGAAAGCUAGGGGAGCAAACGGG
rnacentral:rRNA from 1 species